UGGGAUUACAGGCAUGAGCCACUGAGCCCCGCGACUUGGAUUUCCAAAGCUGCUAUUCCUUAAGGCCUCACAUUAUCCCCAGUUCAAAGCUGCCUGUUCUAGUCAUCAUUCCUACCUCUGCCACGAACACUACCCAGGCACCCCCAACCCCUCAGCAGCCUGGGGCUGAGGGCAUGUAUUUCUCAGGUCCUCAAGCCCAGUAAUCUUGGACUUGUGGUGUCAGGAGGAUGCCAGGUCCCCUCACUGAUCUUACCUUCCUUGCUCUCCACCCCUGAUCCCCAGUGAACUGCAUGGUUGGUUCAGAAAGGGGAAGCCAUGUCAUGAUCACAGCCUGCUCCAUCUCCCCCUA